rnacentral:tRNA from 1 species
UGGCGGGAUGGAGUAAUGGCAGCUCGCAAGGUUCUCACCCUUGAAAUAGUGGUUCGAAUCCACUUCCCGCAACCA